GCUUUUCCUCCCACAGUGAAGCACAAUUAAGCUAGCAACUGCAGAAAAGAAGUCCGAAAAAGUUGUGUUUGCUCUAAAACGUUUGAGCCUCAGGAAACCUUCGUCUCUUAUGUCACGUCUAAGAAAGCUUCACUAAAGCAAGAAAAGUAAACAUGGAAUAUCCGACCAGAACCAGACUCGCGGGACCAACUGGGGAGGAGGGUAAGUCACAGUUGAUGCGCUACACUGCUGAUGGGGAUGUCCUACAACUUCAUGUCAAAAAAUCCCAACUAUCCUUUUAAUCAUAAUUUUGUC